CCCAAGUUGAUAGCCAUCGGCGUUAAGCGUGAUUAAAGUUCUAUAUAAAUUAGGGUUAAAUUAAUACCUAGUAGUAAUAAGCUUGUCAUUAAGAAAAUCACAAACGAAAGUUACCCUAAUAAAUACUUGAAUACACGACAGCUAGGAACCAAACUGGGAUUAGAUACCCCACUAUGCCUAGCCGUAAACAAUUAACUUACACUAACAAACGCCAGGGAACUACGAGCUAUGCUUAAAACCCAAAGGACUUGACGGUGUCCCAUACCCACUAGAGGAGCCUGUUCUAUAAUCGAUGAUCCCCGCUAUACCUAACCAUCCCUUGCUUUAUCAGCCUGUAUACCUCCGUCAUAAGCCUACCAUGUGAACGUCAACAGUGGGCCCAACGGUUCAUAUAAACCAACAUGCCAGGUCAAGGUGCAGCUCACGGAAUGGUAAGUAAUGGGCUACAAUUUCUAAUCUAGAACAAACGGAAGGUUAUGUGAAAUCAUAACAUAAAGGUGGAUUUAGUAGUAAAAAGAAAAUAGAGUGUUCUUUUUAACCCGGCCCUGGGACACGUACACACCGCCCGUCACCCUCUUCAAUAGCUCUCAUCUUAUUUAUAUAAUAUCACAUCUGCGUUUUAGAAGAGGCAAGUCGUAACAUGGUAAGUGUACUGGAAAGUGCACUUGGUUAA
rnacentral:rRNA from 1 species